UGGGGAAUUUUGGACAAUGGGCGAAAGCCUGAUCCAGCAAUGCCGCGUGUGUGAAGAAGGCCUUCGGGUUGUAAAGCACUUUUGUCCGGAAAGAAAUCCUUGGCUCUAAUACAGUCGGGGGAUGACGGUACCGGAAGAAUAAGCACCGGCUAACUACGUGCCAGCAGCCGCGGUAAUACGUAGGGUGCAAGCGUUAAUCGGAAUUACUGGGCGUAAAGCGUGCGCAGGCGGUUUGCUAAGACCGAUGUGAAAUCCCCGGGCUCAACCUGGGGAACUGCAUUGGUGACUGGCAGGCUAGAGUAUGGCAGAGGGGGGUAGAAUUCCACGUGUAGCAGUGAAAUGCGUAGAGAUGUGGAGGAAUACCGAUGGCGAAGGCAGCCCCCUGGGCCAAUACUGACGCUCAUGCACGAAAGCGUGGGGGAGCAAAACAGGAUUAGAUACCCUGGUAGUCCACGCCCUAAACGAUGUCAACUAGUUGUUGGGGAUUCAUUUCCUUAGUAACGUAGCUAACGCGUGAAGUUGACCGCCUGGGGAGUACGGUCGCAAGAUUAAAACUCAAAGGAAUUGACGGGGUCAUA
rnacentral:rRNA from 1 species